rnacentral:ncRNA from 1 species
GGGUAGCCAAUCCCUAAAAACUGCCCUUUGAUGCCCUUAAAAGGGACGCUUCUUGCAUGGUGGGGGAUCGUGCCAAAUCCCCUUUUCAUGGGCAAGGCCAAAGCAGAUUAGACGGCCCCCUACAAUUUAUCUGUACGAAAGGCGAAUACUUAUUUUAUGACAA